GGGCGUGACUCAGCAGCUAAGCACCAGAAACAUUAAGGGACAAGGGAAUUUAGAGUCGAUGUCUUGUGAUGCGGUGAAAAUAUCCCGAAUCUUGACCGGGAGGCCUGGGUUCAAUUCACAGCGAGUGCAGGAUGAGGCUGUCACUGGCUCGGCCAGCAUUUAUUGCUGCGUUUACCCAGAGGGCAGUUAAGAAUCAACCACGUUGCUAUAGGUCUGGAGUCCCAUGCAGACCAGACCAGAUCCCAGUGAUCAGUGCCAAAGCCCCAUUGCCUGUGGAGAGGGUGAUGUUUGAUUUCCCUGUCCAGCUGCAAUUCGUGUGGUGAAGGUGCUCCCACAAUGUGGUUGGGGAUCUGCACUGGAACCCUUCUGUUUGCAGGACAAAUAUAUAUUUGAUGAAGAUGUGUUGAAAAUGUUUGCAGUUACUGAUCUGCUGAACGAAAAUGACCACUUUUAAACUGAUGAUUGGACUAGAGACCUUUGAGAAAACUUGAAAAUAUUCAUUAAGUUCUCAACAAAAGAAAUUAACUAGUUCUGCUGGUUCUAAAUCCGUGGAAAAUAUUUGAGAAUGUUGUGGUCUUAAAGGUGAAAGGGCUAAGUGAUCGUAAGUGAUCAGGUUUUUUUGUUCAAAAGAGCUUGAUUCAAACAUUUCGAACCCAUACAUUGUCAUUCUGCAGUAUUUCAAACGUGUAAAACAAGUCGCUUUCUUCAUUUAUAAAAUAAAUAAA